rnacentral:lncRNA from 1 species
UUUUUUUUUUUUUUAAGAUUUAUUUAUUAUAUGUAAGUACACUGUAGCUGUCUUCAGACACUCCAGAAGAGGGUGUCAGAUCUCGUUAAGGAUGGUUGUGAGCCACCAUGUGGUUGCUGGGAUUUGAACUCAGGACCUUUGUAAGAGCAGUCAGUGCUCUUACCCACUGAGCCAUCUCUCCAGCUCACAAAGUAUUUUUUUCCCCCAAAACAGGGUUUCUCUGUAUAGCCCUGGCUGUCCUGGAACUCACUUUGUAGACCAGGCUGGCCCGAACUCAGAAAUCUGCCUGCCUCUGCCUCCCAAGUGCUGGGGUUAAAGGCGUGCGCCACCAAGCCUGGCCUAAUUACGUAUUCUUUAGAGGUUGAAUUUACUGAAUUUGAGUGCAGAAUACUUGCCUGUAAGUGCAUUUGUACCAAAGAAUAAGUUGAACCAUGUAGUCAGUCUUAAGUUAGAUUUAGUAGACUUAGGACAAUGAGAGAAGGAGAACUUAGGCUAUUGUUGAAUGUGUAUAAAAUAAUACCAUGAUCUUGUUUGAGUUCUUUCUGCCAAAAAAUUAGAAACAUUUGCAAAGAUUGUUUUUACUGUUGCUUAUUGAAAUUGGUUUCUCUUUUCAAGACACAAAAGUCACUUUUUGUGACUUGUUUAUUCUGCCUUGCUGGAUAAAGUGUGUGUGCUCCCUGGCUGCAGGGCACAUGGAUGUUUGAGAAGCAGACUGGAGAUUUUCAGUCUAAUUGACCAGGGAAAAGUCACUUGCCAGUAGCAGAUAUAGUGGUUCAUGACUAUGAUCCCAGCACUUAGACAGUGGAGGCAGGAGGAUCAGAAGUUCAAGGUUGUCCUUGGCUUCAUAAGCAAGUUCUAGGCUGGCCUAGGCAACAUGAGGUUCUUUCUGUUCUAUCAAAAGAAAGCAUAUCUCUUCCAAACUUUUUCCCCUUCCCUGAGUCAUGGUCUGCUGUGUAGCCCAGACAAACUUUGAACAUGUGAUCUUCCAGCUUAGACUCCCAUGUACCACCACAUCUAGCCCAAACUUUUAGUAGCUGAUACUGCUUCAGUAACUAGGUAGCCUGGUUAUAAAUCCUAGAACCAGUGCUUACUAGCUCUCAAGGCAAGUUACUUAACAAACUUCCAGUUUCUUCAUCUGUUAAAAUACAGAGUUGUGAGAAAUUACUUAUUCUGUAGAAUACUUCCAAUAAUUUGAUAUGUGCUAGUGGUUAUCAUUAUUAGUACAAUCAAUUAAAGUUUAUAUGUGUUCUUCAAAAGAAGAACAAAUAGGCUAGACAUGGUGGUGAAUGCAUUUAAUCCUGUGCCUAAAAGGCAGAGGUGGGUCCCUGUGAGUUUAGUUCAGCCAGGGUUGAACUCCAUACUGAAGUUCAGGUUAGCCAGGGCUGCAUAAUAAGAUACUAUCAGAAGAAGAGGAACAAGAGCAGCAGCAGCAGCAGCAGCAGCAGCAGGAGGAGGAGGAGAAGGAAAUACUAGUGAUGCUUAGUUUGAAGUCUUGGAGCUUUUGAGGAAACUUCCAACAGGGAACAGGGAGGUACAACUGAAUCUGCUGCUACUUUCCCCCAGUCCCCUUCAAUUAACCAAAGGGUGAGCCUUUACUGGAUGAGGGAAGCCUAGAAAGUAACAGUAUCAGAAACACAGUUCUAAAAUAAGAAAGAUGUCAAUUUUUUGUGAGACAUUGUAGCAAAACAGGCCAGGGCUAUUUUAGAAUAGAACAUCCAGGUAGAAAACAUUUAAGCAAGCAUUUGAAUUUUGCUAUUUGAACUAAUUCAAGCUGAAGAAUUUAGAAGAAGGUGAUUAAAUGAGUGAAAAAAUAAUAUUUAGGGGAUGUUACCUAUGAAAUCAACACAGAUAAACUGGAAUAAUGAAUGGAUUUGUUAUAUAAUGGUAAGAACUAAGAAUCCUGUUAGUACAGUUAGUUUUCUAUUAAUUUUGCCUCUUACGACGCUGUUGUAAAUUGUUGGUUACUUAAGUCAUUUUUAGUUUAAGUCUGUUUAAUAAUCCCACUCUUAGUCAUUAAAAAAACUCUAAGAUUACGACAGUAUUAUUUAUUUUUUGUGUUUUUUUGAGACAGGGUUUCUCUGUGUAGCCCAGGCUAUCCUGAAACUCUCUCUGACCAGGUUAGCCUUGAACUCAUAGAGGCCUGCCUUUGACUUCCAAGUGCUAGUAUUAAAGGCAUGUGCCUGGAUUUUUUUCCAUUUUUUAAAUUUAUGUAUUAUAUAUAAAUGGACAUUUGUCUGCAUGUAUGUCUUCACACCACCACCAACCAAAAACGGUGUGAGAUCUCAUAGGACUAUAGUAAUAGAUGGUUGUAAGCUGUCAUUGGGAAUUGACCUCAGGCCCUCUGGAAGAGCAGCAGUGCUGCUACGCCAUCUCUCCAGCCCCAACAUAGGCCUGGCUUUUGUUUGAUUUGUUUUGGAGACAGGGUUUCUCUGUGUAGCACUGGCUGACCUGGAGUUCACUUUGUAGAUCAUGCUGACCUUGAAUUCAGAUUAGCCUGCCUCUGCCUCCUUGUUGCUGGAUUAAAAAAGCAUGUGUUACCACUCCUAGCUUUGCUUUUUUUUUUUUUUUUUCUGGAUACAUGGGGUCUGGCCGUAUCUUGUCUAGGUUUGACCAAACUCCUAGACUCAAGUGGUUUUUUUGGCUUUGGCUUCAGACCACAGGUGUACACUGCCAAGACCUGCUUUUGAGUGAAUGCCAUAACCUAAUAAUAAUAUAAUACAUGCUUUUAAAAACAUUAUGCCAGCUUCCAUGUGAGGUGUGGUUUGG